rnacentral:rRNA from 1 species
GAUGAACGCUAGCUGCAGGCUUAACACAUGCAAGUCGAGGGACCCGCUCACGGGUGAGUAACACGUAUCCCACCUGCCCUUUACUCGGUGAUAGCCUUUCGAAAGAACUAUUACUACCCGAUGUAAUGGAUGGGGAUGCGUUCCAUUAGGUUGUUGGUGAGGUAACGGCUCACCAAGCCUUCGAUGGCUAGGGGUUCGGAGAGGAAGGUCCCCUACAUUGGAACUGAGGCACGGUCCAAACUCCUACGGGAGGGAGCAGUGAGGAAUAUUGGUCAAUGGGCGUUAGCCUGAACCAGCCAAGUAGCGUGAAGGAUGAAGGCUUAUGGGUCGUAAACUUCUUUGAAAUAAGAAUAUGUAUUAUAUGAAGAAGGAUCGGCUAACUCCGUGCCAGCAGCCGCGGUAAUUC